rnacentral:sRNA from 1 species
ACUCGCCGCGACCUGGAUCGCCGCGAGAACUUCUCGCGCUCAUGUGCCCAGCGCGAGAAGCGGGAGCGCCGCCUUGCAUCCCCCCAAGCAAGCGGGCGGCGCUCCCAACCCC